GACGAACGCUGGCGGCGUGCCUAAUACAUGCAAGUUGAGCGCUGAAGGUUGGUACUUGUACCAACUGGAUGAGCAGCGAACGGGUGAGUAACGCGUGGGGAAUCUGCCUUUGAGCGGGGGACAACAUUUGGAAACGAAUGCUAAUACCGCAUAAAAACUUUAAACACAAGUUUUAAGUUUGAAAGAUGCAAUUGCAUCACUCAAAGAUGAUCCCGCGUUGUAUUAGCUAGUUGGUGAGGUAAAGGCUCACCAAGGCGAUGAUACAUAGCCGACCUGAGAGGGUGAUCGGCCACAUUGGGACUGAGACACGGCCCAAACUCCUACGGGAGGCAGCAGUAGGGAAUCUUCGGCAAUGGACGAAAGUCUGACCGAGCAACGCCGCGUGAGUGAAGAAGGGUGUCGGAUCGGAAAACUCUGUUGGUAGAGAAGAACGUUGGUGAGAGUGGAAAGCUCAUAAAGUGACGGUAACUACCCAGAAAGGGACGGCUAACUACGUG
rnacentral:rRNA from 1 species